CUUCCACCCAAAAAGCACAGUCCUGGGUGGUGGCGAAAGGGGUGAGCAUGGAGGUGCCAAAUGACCGGAUUGGUGGGGCUGAGCCAGAAUUCCAGAGCAGAGGAAAGCUGAAAAUGCCUCCACCCAAAUAACGCCAUCCUGUGUGAUGGGGAAAGGGGUGAGCAAGGAGGUACCAAAUGACCAAGUAGAGGGGUUGCGUGGG